AAUUCCAAAACUCAGAAGCGACGCUAUACACUGUUCUUCUUCACCCAAAAUCAUUCCCAAACUCGCCAAAAUUCAGGCGAGUGAACCCAAACUCACAUCACGCGCUUCCCCCCUUCUAUCCUUUUGCCACAUAGUGUAACAGUCUCUGACAACAACAAGAUUCCCUCCCUCACUUGCCCGUUUUCAAGCUAAAUCACGCGGUUAGAAGGCUCGAAAAGACGUGUGUUGGAUGUGUGAGAGCCGUCAGAUCGAUUUCAUUCAAUCCAAACCUCACAUUCAUCAUGUGCUCGUUUUCAAAGGGGCCUUAUCCGAUUUCUUGAAGAGGGAGUAAGAAUCUGGAGGUUAGGGAUAUAAGGAAGCAUUUUCGGAUAAAAAAGGGGAUUCUUUUCAGAAAAGGUUUUUUUUAGAAAUUUAGGAAAGGAAAAAUUCUAGGGUUCUUGGAGUUUCCUUUUUUUUCUUCAAUUUUCGUUGGGAUUUUUAGAAAAAACAAAGAGCAAAAAAUAUAGUCCGAGUUUCAUUUCUUUGAGUUUUACUUCAUUUCAAGAAAAAAUCAAAAAAAAAUCACUAAGACAUAAUUUUCAUAUUUUUUUCUCUUAAUUUCUUGUUCUAAAAAAUGGAGCUUGAUUGAAGUUGAGUUGGAGUUUGCAUUUAAGCUCUAAAUCCUGCUGCUAUUUCAAAUUUCUGUCCGAGCUUCUGAUUUCUACUCAAUUUUGUUGCUGGUUGUGCUGAUAUUAGCUAUUGGAUUUCACUUGUAAUUAGUGUUUAAGCAAAAUUAAUCAAGGCGUUUGCUGAUUCAGGGCAAUAAUAAGUAAUGUGAUCGUCUAAUGUUGAAAGAGGAUUCCAUGUAAGUUGUAAUAAAUUAGUCAGUUAGUCCCAUGUAGAAGCUUAAACUUAAUAGGUCUAACCAACAAACUGAGGGUUGGUUUGUAAAGGGACUUACUAAGUUCAAUGUUUGGAUUUGCUAAGUUCAGUAGUGGGUUUUGCUCAAUUUACAGUCAUUUUGUUAAGGAGUUGGAAUGCAUUUUGAGUUGAUCAUUAGCGGUUUGAUAAAUUUGUGGAAUGCAUUUUGCCUGGAUUGUUAGGAGGCCAGUAAUGUUAAGGUCCUAACUUCUGUGCAAUUGCGAGUUUUUUUACUUACUACUCGCGUUGGUGGUAUUGGCUGUUUUCUUUUAUCAUUGAAUACGGGCUUUCUAUUUUGAUCUGUUUAAAGGGAAUAAAUGUCAACCGUGCAAUGUGUCAAAUCCACGGUAUUGGCUUUACAUUUAGUGACCAAGUCUAUUUUUUCUUAAAGAUUGUGGUGUGGAUAAUAUGGCAAAAAAUGUGGGUUUCUACGGUGAUGUAUUGUAAUUAUUUUGUUUGAGACAUAAGUUGAAGACAAUCAUCCUCGAUAUUAACAUUCUUUUCCUGCUA